rnacentral:tRNA from 1 species
GCCUCGGUAGCUCAGUAGGUAGAGCGCCCGGCUGUUAACCGGAAGGUCGCCGGUUCGAGUCCGGCCCGAGGCG